GCCAAUCAUUCCAUUGUUGGGUAGUGGGGAAUCAGCUUGCUCUGCACGCCGACUGAAUGCGCACUGAAUUAACCAAACUUGGGCUGCUGUUGAAAACCAACUAAAGCAAAGAUCCAUCUAUUGAUAGCUGAGGCACAAGAUACUGGACGACCCCAGUGGACAGGAGAGCAGCAAAGAUGAACUGAGAAGGGAGUUUGCUCCAUUUCACGGAAGGCUCAGAAUCGUACCCUGGGUUGGCUGGCGUUGUUCAAGAUGAUGAGUGGCUGUGCAAGGGACGGAAAAGUACUGGCUUGAAAGCAGCAUUCAGAAAACAAACUUUGCUGCUUACAAGAGAAAAACUAGGGUGCGAAAAUGCAUAAAGUACAGGAAGUCACUUGCUGCGAAUCCGACAGACUCGGCAUGAUAAUCCAGCCCGCCUGCGCUCACUAGCAGCGAUGAAUUUGUUGAUUGUUUUCAACUUUGAUCUGCUGGAGCCCUGAUGCCUCAUCAUUUGUUGACUGCACAGGAAAGACAGUGCACAAAGGUGAACACAGACCCUCGAGUAUCUUGUUGAAAACCUUGCUGACUGUGUCCUGAAGUGAGGCCAUAUGUCCAAGAUGCAUGGCUAAGGGGACCGAGUUUGCAGAACGUGCAGUUUGUAAGUAGGCAAACUCCCUGUUUCCAUCUGUGUGGGUCCCUGACGGGCUCACAUGACUCGAUGCCCUCCAGAGCCCGGAGUUGUCUCCAGGGGAGACAGUAGGGCCUGCUGGGAGCCCUGACGGCCCUCGCUGAACCUCUUGAUGAUAUCUGCUGUGAGGUCCUGAGGACACCAAACAACGAGAGUGAUGUCCAAACAACUGACCCUUGCUGUGUAACUUAGACAAAGCCUUUUAAAGAGGAAGAGGCAGUUUCAGAAAAACAAUUU